rnacentral:lncRNA from 10 species
CAACAGAUGUCUGAUCAAUGGGGCUGCAGGGAUACGGUGCCACUGCCAUGAUGGUUGAUUUUAGAAAAGCUUUUAAUUCAGAAGAUGACUAUUUCCUCGAAAAUCCCUUCCAUGCAAUGAGGACCUAGACAGCUGUUUCUGUAGCAAACUUCCUUUCCUAUGGGAUGAAUGAAGAAAAACGAGUACAUAUUAUUUCAGGAAGAGUCAAAGAUGAUGACCUCAGAAGACAUCUGACAGCAAACGCUUGAGCUAGAAAAACAUGGAAAGGCAUCCACCAGAAGUUUGGUGUGAGCAGGAAUGUGGUGUGCACCUGGAGAAUAGGGCAGUGGAGCACGGGCUUCUUUCCCCUCGAGGUCCAUCACUCCCUCCCCAGUGACUGCCUUCUAUGUGCACUCUUCUCCUUCCAGGGUCAUACUUUCUUUCUCACCAUUCCCCUGGCACAGAUUUGCUUUAAGUUUAAACCUUCAGAACAGCUAGCUGACAGAACUAAGACCUGGAACGCCUGUAAAACCAGCAAUGGGCCACCUCUAUGACAGCGAAGGACACCUGGCCACAGAAGAGAGAGGGAGGGUGGAAGGAAAGUAGAAAAGCUCCUAAGCAAGCCACCUUAAGACAUCUCUGUCAGGAUAAACUAAAAGGUUCACCAAAUUAUGAGCAGAAAUAACCCUAACAGAGAAAAUUAUAAAAUCACCCUGAAUAAUCUGAAUGCUAUGGCUGCUGUGGGAAAUUUAUGUUCAUGGUUUUUAUUAAGAGCUUUUAUUAUUUUUAAAUUUUAUUUUUUUGUUGUUGUUGGCUAUUACUUCCUUUAAAAUGUUUGUACC